rnacentral:lncRNA from 1 species
CAAAGGGAAGGGAAACAUAAUGCCUUGCUGUGUGGCCUCAUUGAGUGGUUCCGAGGGCACCCAGCUAUUCUGUCCGUCCUGCACUGGAUCGACACUGCAUAAAAUGAAACAGAGAGUUGGAAAUUAGCUGGUGAAUAAGAUGAUGAAGAAACACAAACAAGGCUCUUCAGAGCUGGAAAGCUUCUGGGGCCAUUGCUACGGCUCAGAAGCUCUCUGAAAUACGUCAGGGACCCAGCUUUUUAAGGCACCGUGAAAGUAAGAGACCAAAAACAGAUGACAGAAAACGAGAAUAAUGAUGGUUGAAGAAAAGGAAAGAACUUAAUUAAAGAAGGCAACACAGUCUUAAAGCUAAAAAAUUUAAAAAUAAAAUAAGGU